UACGUAGGGUGCGAGCGUUAAUCGGAAUUACUGGGCGUAAAGCGUGCGCAGGCGGUUUUGUAAGCCAGAUGUGAAAUCCCCGGGCUCAACCUGGGAAUGGCAGUGGAAACUGGCGGGCUUGAGUGUGGCAGAGGGGGGUGGAAUUCCGCGUGUAGCAGUGAAAUGCGUAGAGAUGCGGAGGAACACCGAUGGCGAAGGCAGCCCCCUGGGCUAACACUGACGCUGGAGGCACGAAAGCGGUGGGAGCAAACAGG
rnacentral:rRNA from 1 species